UACGAAGGGGGCUAGCGUUGUUCGGAUUUACUGGGCGUAAAGCGCACGUAGGCGGAUAUUUAAGUCGGGGGUGAAAUCCCGGGGCUCAACCCCGGAACUGCCUUCGAUACUGGGUAUCUUGAGUUCGGAAGAGGUGAGUGGAAUUGCGAGUGUAGAGGUGAAAUUCGUAGAUAUUCGCAGGAACACCAGUGGCGAAGGCGGCUCACUGGUCCGAUACUGACGCUGAGGUGCGAAAGCGUGGGGAGCAAACAGGG
rnacentral:rRNA from 1 species